rnacentral:lncRNA from 1 species
GUUUUCUCUUUGCUCUCUAACCUGGCUCUUCUCUUGUCACAGGCCUGAGGCCUUUUCUGAGGUAGCUGAGAAACAAAACAAUGUGAACAGGUAAGGAGCGAGCCCCCAGAACAAGAAGUACAAGUUCACACCUUGGCGCCUCAAGGAGAAACAGGAUCUUGCUCUUUUCUCCUGUUGAGAACUAUAGCACACAUAAUAGGAUAGGUAGUUAUGAGUGUGGCUAAAAGGUCACUUUUUUUCUUUUUUUCGGAGCUGGGGACCAAACCCAGGGCCUUGCGCUUGCUAGGCAAGCGCUCUACCACUGAGCUAAAUCCCCAACCCAAGAGGUCACAUGUUAAAAUGCUAGCUUUGCUACUUAAUAGACAGGUGAGUUUAGAUGCUUUUUUUUUUUUUUAAGUAUCUUAAGGAGGUUUCUAACUGGAUGUGGCUGGACAUCCCUGCAAUUCUAGUACUCAACAAGGUAGUACUAGAUCAGGAGUUUGAGGCCAGAAUGGUCUACUCAUAACAGGUUCAAAGCCAGCCUGAGGUAUAGGAAACUUUUUCUCAGAAACAAACGAGUUCAUAUAAGAGACGGGAUUACACAGAGAGUAAGAUUGCUUAGUGCAGCAGUCCUCACCUGUGGGUUGAGACGCCUUUGAGGGUCGCAUGUCAGAUAUUUAAAUUAUUAUUCAUAACAGCAAAAUUACAGUUAUAAAGGAGUAAUAAUAAUUUUAUGGUUGGGUUCACUACAGCAUGAAGAACUGUGAAAGUGUCGCAGCAUUGGGAAGCUGUUAGUACAUCAGCUGUUAGGAAAUGUGAGCUAUGUGUCAGUAAUGCUAGUGGGGUCGCUUCCUCACUCAAAUUGAUGAGGGGCUGGG